CUGUGGCUGGAUUCAAGUAAUCCAGGAUAGGCUGUUUCCAUCUGUGAGGCCUAUUCUUGAUUACUUGUUUCUGGAGGCA
ncrna:Homo sapiens (human) microRNA hsa-mir-26a precursor (hsa-mir-26a-2)